AAGCAAAUGAUGAAACGAAAGAAAAAUCACAGUGGAUUGAUGCCACUUUACCCACAAUGCUU
rnacentral:sRNA from 1 species